rnacentral:rRNA from 1 species
UACGUAGGGGGCUAGCGUUGUCCGGAAUCAUUGGGCGUAAAGAGCGUGUAGGCGGUCCGGUAAGUCCGCUGUGAAAGUCGGGGGCUCAACCCUCGAAUGCCGGUGGAUACUGUCGGGCUAGAGUGCGGAAGAGGCGAGUGGAAUUCCUGGUGUAGCGGUGAAAUGCGCAGAUAUCAGGAGGAACACCAAUUGCGAAGGCAGCUCGCUGGAACGUUACUGACGCUGAGACGCGAAAGCGUGGGGAGCAAACAGG